AACGCGAAGAACCUUACCUGGGCUCGAAAUGUAGUGGAAUGGGGUGGAAACAUCCCCGUCUCGCAAGAGACUGCUAUAUAGGUGCUGCAUGGCUGUCGUCAGCUCGUGUCGUGAGAUGUUGGGUUAAGUCCCGCAACGAGCGCAACCCUUAUCCCUAGUUGCCAUCGGGUCAAGCCGGGCACUCUAGUGAAACCGCCCAGGAUAACUGGGAGGAAGGUGGGGAUGACGUCAAGUCCUCAUGGCCUUUAUGUCCAGGGCUACACACGUGCUACAAUGGUCGGUACAAACCGUCGCAAACCCGCGAGGGGGAGCUAAUCGGAAAAAGCCGGCCUCAGUUCGGAUUGGAGUCUGCAACCCGACUCCAUGAAGCUGGAAUCGCUAGUAAUCGCGGAUCAGAACGCCGCGGUGAAUACGUUCCCGGGCCUUGUA
rnacentral:rRNA from 1 species